CAGCAGCCGCGGGAAUACGAAGGAUGCAAGCGCUACUCGGAAUUACUGGGCGUAAAGCGUGCGUAGGUGGUGGUUUAAGUCCGUUGUGAAAGCCCUGGGCUCAACCUGGGAAUUGCAGUGGAUACUGGGUCACUAGAGUGUGGUAGAGGAUAGUGGAAUUUCCGGUGUAGCAGUGAAAUGCGUAGAGAUCGGAAGGAACAUCUGUGGCGAAGGCGACUAUCUGGGCCAACACUGACACUGAGGCACGAAAGCGUGGGGAGCAAACAGGAUUAGAUACCCCGGUAGUCCCUGUCUCUUAUAC
rnacentral:rRNA from 1 species